CAGUAGCCGCGGGAAUACGAGGGGGGCAAGCGUUGUUCGGAAUUAUUGGGCGUAAAGGGCGCGUAGGCGGUUUGGCAAGUUUGGUGUGAAAUCUUCGGGCUCAACUCGAAGUCUGCAUCGAAAACUGCCGGGCUUGAGUGUGGGAGAGGUGAGUGGAAUUUCCGGUGUAGCGGUGAAAUGCGUAGAUAUCGGAAGGAACACCUGUGGCGAAAGCGGCUCACUGGACCACAACUGACGCUGAGGCGCGAAAGCUAGGGGAGCAAACAGGAUUAGAUACCCGCGUAGUCCCUGUCUCUUAUAU
rnacentral:rRNA from 1 species